ensembl:misc_RNA Y_RNA Y RNA
GGCGGGUCCGAAGGUAGUGAGUUAUGUCUUGGUCACAGUCAGUUACAGAUCAGACUCCUUGUUCUACUCUAUCCCCCUUCUCACUAAUGCCCUCGACAGGUCUUGA